UACGUAGGGUGCGAGCGUUGUCCGGAAUUAUUGGGCGUAAAGGGCUCGUAGGCGGUUUGUCGCGUCGGGAGUGAAAUCCACUGGCUUAACUGGUGGCUUGCUUUCGAUACGGGCAGACUGGAGGUAUGCAGGGGAGAACGGGAAUUCCUGGUGUAGCGGUGAAAUGCGCAGAGUAUCAGGAGGAACACCGGUGGCGAAGGCGGUUCUCUGGACAGUUCCUGACACUGAGGCACGAAGCCAGGGAGCAAACAGG
rnacentral:rRNA from 1 species